GGAUUAGAUACCCUGGUAGUCCACGCCGUAAACGAUGUGUGCUAGCUGUUGGAUUUUUUAAAAUUCAGUGGCGCAGCUAACGCAUUAAGCACACCGCCUGGGGAGUACGGUCGCAAGAUUAAAACUCAAAGGAAUUGACGGGGACCCGCACAAGCGGUGGAGCAUGUUGUUUAAUUCGAAGCAACGCGAAGAACCUUACCCACACUUGACAUCCUUCUUGGGACUUUCAGAGAUGAUUGUCUUCGGUUCGGCCGGGGAAGUGACAGGUGCUGCAUGGCUGUCGUCAGCUCGUGCUG
rnacentral:rRNA from 1 species